rnacentral:rRNA from 1 species
UACGUAGGUCCCGAGCGUUGUCCGGAUUUAUUGGGCGUAAAGCGAGCGCAGGCGGUUUGAUAAGUCUGAAGUUAAAGGCUGUGGCUCAACCAUAGUUCGCUUUGGAAACUGUCAAACUUGAGUGCAGAAGGGGAGAGUGGAAUUCCAUGUGUAGCGGUGAAAUGCGUAGAGAUCAGGAGGAACACCGGUGGCGAAAGCGGCUCUCUGGACUGUAACUGACACUGAGGCUCGAAAGCGUGGGUAGCAAACAGG